AUACGUAGGUGACAAGCGUUAUCCGGAUUUACUGGGCGUAAAGGGCGUGUAGGCGGUCUUGCAAGUCAGAAGUGAAAUUCCUGAGCUCAACUCGGGCGCUGCUUCUGAAACUGCAGGACUUGAGUGCUGGAGGGGAUAGCGGAAUUCCUAGUGGAGCGGUAAAAUGCGCAGAUAUUAGGAAGAACACCGGUGGCGAAGGCGGCUAUCUGGACAGUAACUGACGCUGAGGCGCGAAAGCGUGGGGAGCAAACAGGAUUAGAUACCCUGGUAGUCCACGCUGUAAACGAUGAUGACUAGGUGUGGGGGGACUGAACCCUUCCGUGCCGCAGUUAACACAAUAAGUCAUCCACCUGGGGAGUACGGCCGCAAGGUUGAAACUCAAAUGAAUUGACGGGG
rnacentral:rRNA from 1 species